rnacentral:rRNA from 1 species
AUUGAACGCUGGCGGCGUGCCUAAUACAUGCAAGUCGAGCGGAGUGGCGGACGGGUGAGUAAUGCCCAGGAAGCUGCCUGAUAGUUGGGGCUAACGUCCGGACAGGGGCCCUAAUCCCACAUCCUUCUAGAUGUGACUAGGUAGGAUGAGCUAGUUGGUGGGGUAAAGGCCUACCAAGGCGACGAUCCGUAACUGACCUGAGAGGAUGACCCGUGACACUGGAACGGAGACACGGUCCAGACUCCUACGUGAGGCAGCAGUAGGGAAUAUUGCGCAAUGGGCGAAAGCCUGAUCCAGCCAUGCCGCGUGUGUGAAGAAGGUCUUCGGAUCGUAAAACUCGUUUAUUUGGGAAGCGUUACCAACAGAAUAAGCACCGGCUAACUUCGUGCCAGCAGCCGCGGUAAUUC